rnacentral:lncRNA from 1 species
AGAAACAGUAAAGUAGAAUAUUAUGUUCGAAAAAUUAUGAAAAGAAAGAAGUCCAGAAUUCGGAAAGAGGAUGAUCGAGGCGAGAACUAGGCUCUCUGUCCUUAAAACGUUUUUACCCCGUCACACGGUGCUUACGGUAUGUGGUAAAGCGUCUCCCAAGAUACAACGAUCACACUUGCAGAAGCAGCACUUCGACUGCAAG